GAUGAACGCUGGCGGCGUGCCUAAUACAUGCAAGUCGAGCGAAUGGAUUAAGAGUUUGCUCUUAUGAAGUUAGCGGCGGACGGGUGAGUAACACGUGGGUAACCUGCCCAUAAGACUGGGAUAACUCCGGGAAACCGGGGCUAAUACCGGAUAACAUUUUGAACCGCAUGGUUCGAAAUUGAAAGGCGGCUUCGGCUGCCACUUAUGGAUGGACCCGCGUCGCAUUAGCUAGUUGGUGAGGUAACGGCUCACCAAGGCAACGAUGCGUAGCCGACCUGAGAGGGUGAUCGGCCACACUGGGACUGAGACACGGCCCAGACUCCUACGGGAGGCAGCAGUAGGGAAUCUUCCGCAAUGGACGAAAGUCUGACGGAGCAACGCCGCGUGAGUGAUGAAGGCUUUCGGGUCGUAAAACUCUGUUGUUAGGGAAGAACAAGUGCUAGUUGAAUAAGCUGGCACCUUGACGGUACCUAACCAGAAAGCCACGGCUAACUACGUGCCAGCCGCCGCGGUAA
rnacentral:rRNA from 1 species